GCCCGGUUAGGAGAAUUGGCAAAUCCGCCUGACUUAGAAUCAGGACUUUCUCGGUUCGAGUCCGAGACUGGGCACCA
rnacentral:tRNA from 1 species